UUCAAUGUGGGAUUGUUAUGUGGUGUGAGUUUGGUCGGAUCCAUCUUUUUAUGAACCCACCAUCGGUGUGCUCUCCGCUAAUAGCUGAAGGGUCUCUAUUCAUCUUAGACAUGACCGUACUUGAACAGGAUCUGUUCUAUAGGUCAUACACCUGUCUGUGUUCUUUAACUCAGACAAGCUUCUCAACCCAGACGAAGAGACAGAGUCCCUGCACCUGAGCGCAACGUAAGGCCGCAGUGGCCGUGCCGCUGGCACGGACGCGCGGCUCUGGAUGAACGUCCCUCCGAGCCUCAUUCCGCCGGCAGGGAUGGUGCCUGGGACAUUCAGAUGGGUUACGACCUUUUUUAUGAAAUAAAAGUUUUGGCGUUCGACGUUUUCUCUUGUCUUUUUCGCUCUUCAUUUUAUUCCUGCUCGCUGCAAAAACUUAAUUGUUUCGUAUACGUGCGGCACGUAAAGGAGCGCCUGAUAAUCGUUUGCCCUCGUACAAAGCAAUGUAACUCUAGGCGUUUUUAUAACCAAGCCGCACCUAAGGCUUGCCCUCCUCCUUCCGCCCCACAUCCUACAUCUCCCUAUCUCUUGGCUAAUCCCCGUCUCCCGGUAUCUGCUCCCUCUGGCUUCCUUAACCCCAGCCAGCUUCAAGAACUGUAGCCCUGCAGCCCUCCAAGCCAAGCAUUCAUGAGUCAGCUGCCCCAAAUGCGAUCCUGACCUCCGAACUACACUGUAUAUCUGCUCCUUGUCCAGGUCUUGUCGCUUGAUCUCCCCCCCUUCCCUCUCCUAAACAUCCUCCUCGAUCCCAUCGCACUCGCCCCCAUCCGGACACCACCGCCCCACCUCGUCUGUGGUUCGUCUUCCCGCUCAAGGCCGUACCCCAAUCUGAAAAUGGAGUGUCGAGCAUUGAUCACCAUAAAUGAAUGAAUGAUGCGUAUCGAGUUUGCUCUCCAGCCUCUCCAACCCUCCACCCAUACUCGCGGCAGGUGCUUGCAUUACGCGCUUUGGGCCGCCUGAUGGUUCUGUCCGAUCGGUUGUCAGUUGAGUACGGCGAUGUACUGCGGGACUUGCUGGCCCGGUGGAAGUACAGACCCGCGGCUCUGGUCUGCGAGGCGCUGGCCAUCACACAUGACCUUGUGCGCCGUAACCCCAGCCACCAUCGCCAACUGCUGGGACUCACGGAGGAUCUAAUUCAAGCCGCGCUACAGAACUGGGCUAGCCUUAAGUGUGGGCAUGGAUUGGGGUCGGAGCCGCUAGCGGUCGGAGGUGGGUGUGGUGUUGCGGAGCCGCGGGCUGGCGGUGUUGGCGCCACAGGCCGAGCCUCGGGCCCCCGGGAGCAGCUGCAGCCACAUGAUAAAGUCCGUCCGGCAGGCAACGGCGUGCACGAGCGCGACGAGGAUCCUGAGGCGGGUGGAGCACAAGAGGAUGCCAAUGGCGGAACGGGGGACGACGGGAACGGGGCGCGGAAGGCCCAGGUGGUGAAGCCCCGGGAGGUCCAGCCCCCUCCACCACACCGUCCCCAUUGCUGCGGUCGCGAGGCUGUCCUGGCGGCGCUGCUGCCGACGGCGGUGGGCUGCUACUGCCGCUUGCUGGCCACGGGACGGCUGCAGUGGUCUCCGGCGACGUACCGUACACUGGCGAUGUGCUUCACCCUGGCUAGGGGCAAUCUGCGGGGGCAGGUUCGUGGGGUUCGAGUGGCCGCCGGACGGUUGGUACAGCUUAGGGCAUUCAAGUUACAAGUUCCACACAAGUGCGGGAGGGCGUCCGUAAAAGUGGGGGGGGGAAGGGGGGGGGCAUGGACGAUGACCUAUCAUUCGGGAGGCUAUGUAGAGGUGUUCGCGAUUUGCAGAAGCCCCGCCCCGGCAGCUAGGUACGGAGACAGACUGUCUGGGACUUAGGGUCCUGGGUAGGGGCUACGAUGUAGGUUACUGUUUGCGGAACCUACAUCCGCAAGCAGUGCAGUGCAGCUCUCUAGAACGGCACGGCUGGCCGUGUGGCCUGAAGACCGCUGACGGGGACUCCUGUCGAACCGACAGGUCAAUGCGAUCUCCAAUUAGAAAGCAAAGCUUCCUCCACGACAGCGCAGAGCGCGCCUGAGCGCCGCACCUGACGCCUCCUUUAUUGCCCUUGCAUUGCAAAACAUGGUGCAGGGAAGGAUCCUGCAGCAAUUUGGUAUGAAAUGGAUGAACUUUGGUCCCCAAGCACACGUACACAUGUCAUGCUGGCUACCCCCUAGCCUCAGCGCUAUCGUCGCAACACAGUGUUAUGCGCUUUUGCACUGCGGUCCAACCAAACAGCCUGCUGUUCCCGCGGCCUAUUCAGGUAGCCAUGCAGGCUGCGGCUCUGCUGCUGCGAAACGCAUCCACUUCCUCCGCCUCUGGGCCCGGCAGCCACGGCGGCGGUGGGCCCCAGGCUGGCACGCACCGCCGCAUUGCCGUAGCGCUGGCCUUGUUGCGCAAUUGCCCCGGCCCGCUGCGGGCACGGCUGGUUUCGGAGGCGCUUCUUCCUGUGUCCGGACUCACCACUGCACCCGCCGCCGCAAGCACUGGCAGCCACGACUUCAGACCUACCAGCUGUGGCGAGCCGCUGCCGCCCCCGUUGCUGCACGCCGAGGACUUUCUAAGCGACGACCUAGCUCUCCCGGUCGUGCAAGCGAUUUGCAGCGGCAGCGAUGGUGGCGGAGAGGACGCCGGCGGCGGCGCCGUCGCGGGCAACGAGGGCGCAGCGGCACCCUGCGGUGCCGCCGGCGGUGACAGCUCUGGCGGCGUUGGGCCGGGGGACCCAAGCUGCCCUUCCAUGGCUGCGUUGCUCCUGCUCCUGCGGGAAAUAACCCCAUCCGCGAGAACCCUUGCCGUCAUGCUGCCGCAGAUGCAGGUAGGUAGUGUACCAAUAUGCGGGUUAAUGACGUACACCUUUCUUAAGAGGAGGUUGUACACAGCCACAUGGGUGGUGAGGGAAAUGGCUCAAGGCCAAUAGGCCGUUUUUCUUAGGCAUUUCCUGUCGGUUGGAGAUUGAGCAAUCCAGGAGGAGUGCAUUGUUUGCCAGGACUCCGUGCUCCGUAGCAUAGUGCUCCGUAGGCGUGCUUGCUAAAGGUUUUAGCAAUUACUUCAGGAACAGAGACCCGUUCCUUUUUCGCGAUCGCGCAUCUUUUUCUCUCGUCCUUCCAACUUAAAGGCGUCUCGUCUCACAUGGCCAUGCACCCGCUGGGCGUCCUAAGUUGGGUUGGGGUGGGGGGGUUGAGGUGAGGUAACCGCACCUGGGGGGUGCGAUGGGCAUUGUGGCCUGUACUCCUUCUUGCCGAGGUGAAAGGGCCCAAUGAUGUUGCGAUCCGAACGGCGACUGCAGGCUGUCUUGCGUGACCCAUGGGUCCUGGAGAGCUUCACACCGGGCGCUGUACAGGUGCUCCGUGACAUGGUGCUGCGCUACAAGGCGACUUCGGGAGCGGGCACCGCAGCGGCAGCUGACGGAGGUGACGGGAUGUUGCAGGCAGCGGGCGGCGGCAGCGGCAGUGGCGGCGGCACAGAGCUGAAUGUCGUCUCCGGGUGCAACGGACAGCAUGGUGCUGUACCUGCACCCGCAGCGGAGGGAGGUGCGGCUGUUGUGGUGGCAGCGGCGGCGGCGCGAGGGGGAGGCGACGGAGUCACCGCGCAGCGGAGGCUAGUGGAACUGCUCACACAGAUUGAGGGCCGGGUUGGACUGGCCGGCUGCUCCAAACGGCAGGUAGGGGCAGAUGACUCAAGCCCCCGCUCAUUGCUCACACCCACCGCUGCCGCCUGGCCUGGUGCAGUUCUUGCGUCUCUUUGAUUGUUCCGGGUUGGAAGUCCCGAGCACCUUCCGUGAAGGCCUUCCGGUUCAGGGGGCCUGCGGCGCGUCCUCGAUAUUCUGCGCCAACGUUGAGCGAGCUCUACCAUACACAAGCCCCUUGCACUCCAUCCUCCUCUAUGCAUAUGCCCCCUGCCCAGCACCUUGCUCGUGUCGUGGCCCUCCCUGGAUACCUCUGCCCAAUCCGCGGGGCAUGGACACGAUGGACACAAUGCCCGCCGCGAAACUCCCCAUAAACCUUACGCGCUGUAGUGGAUAUGUUGGCGGUGCGUUCCGUCUCAAUAAAGCUACAAGGCGUGUUCAGGGCUUUGUGACUACCACUGUGAUGGAGAUGAUUGACCAAUUGGCCUCCCGGCUGUUUGGUUGGGCUUGUUGCAGAGGACCAAGCGAGCUGCUGUCGCUGUGGGCCCCGAAACCGAAAUCUUGUUCGGGCUGAGCGACGACAGCGUGCGCCGGUACGAGCGCGCAGUGCUGGCCUUCACCAAUAGCCACCCGCCAGGGGCGAGGCGCAUCCACCACAGAGGAGGUACGGAAGGCCAGGAGGGAUGCGCGGCGCCAGCAGCGGUGACUGUGGCCGCAGCUCCAAAGCCAGCCACAGUCGUUCGGAAGCCAAGCGUCCGGCUUGUACCCCCUUCCACAGCACAGGCCAGUGCGAUAAAGGCUGAGCCCCACAGGCGCUCUGCUCGCAGUAGCAAUGCGGGAUCAAACGCUAAACCUGUUGCUGCCACUGCUACAGGUACUAAGCGACGGAAGGCAGGAUAAUGGGUCGACUAAGUCGACUAUAGUUCAGAGACUGCUGGCAGUGCGGUAGACCUCAGUAUAAGGAUGCGAGUUCGGAGUGAUGUCACGAUUCGGACAUGGAUGGACGGGGCGGUCAUACAUGCAUGCGUCGGUCAAUCAUACAUGCAUUUGCAUUGAGCGAGGGGCCGCUGAUUAAUUAGGCCAGAUUGGGGAUUUUUUCGCAUGGAGGUUGGAUGAGGCUUUGAAGACGGUGCAACCACCUAAAGGAGUGUUGCAGACAUAAUGACACAGCGCAAACUAACGUAACGAUGUGGGGAUGAGAAUGUUGGUGGGAGUAGUCUGCGUGUGAUAAAACAUAUUUGCUUGUAAGGAGAGGGCGGAAAAAUAAAGUAUGAUGUACGGCGCUGGAGGUGCUACCGCCGCCAUGUAAUGGUGGCAAGUCUGCCUCCUUCCCGAAUAGCACUAACAGGGCUGGGUAAUCGGCCUUUUCUUUACAUUUCGUAGUUCAGCAGAAAGUUCAAUGUGGGAUUGUUAGAUGGUGUGAAGUUUGGUCGGAUUUAUCGUUCAAUGGACCCACCAUCGGUUUGCCCUCCGGUAACAGGUCAAGGGUCUCUGUCCAUCAUGGACAUGACCGUACUUGAACAGGAUCUGUUCUAUAGGUCAUACACCUGUCUGUGUUCUUUAACUCAGACAAGCUCCUCAACCCAGACGAAGAGACAGAGUCCCUACACCUGAGCGCAACGUAAGGUCGCAGUGGCCGUGCCGCUGGCACGGACGCGCGGCUCUGGAUGAACGUCCCUCCGAGCCACAUUCCGCCGGCAGGGAUGGUGCCUGGGACAUUCAGAUGGGUUAAAUCUGACUUUUUUCACGUUCUUUUCUCAAUGUUCACAGUAGCUUUAUAUCCUACAAGGAAGGUGUGUCAUUCUCACUGAUCAUAUCCUAGGACGUGUCUCUCGCUCAUACGCUCACACAAAGAAGUGUCCGGUAGUCUGCGGCUAUCUCGGAGUCACGCUCCGAGGUUCCCAUCAACAACCCGUCGUCAUUACAAUAACCAUCCUAUCUUCCUGCCAGGACACAAUUAACAACAUCAACAUGUACCACUUGCCAGAACUCAAUUCAUCCGCGGCUUCCCUUGGCAUAUCCCGUGUCGUACACAACAGAUCUUCCAAUACCCCACAGUCUUCAUCAUUAGCAAUCCAGUCAGUCAGUUCCUGUUUGCCGUGGUCACAACUUGGAACCUUUUGGUUCGUUGAGACGAGCCGCUAAUUGCUUUUUCAAGCAGCGGAUGUGUGUGUGUGUGUUACAUGGUUGGGGGGUGCGUGACCCCAUACCUGUAAAUCUACCCAUACGAGCCGAAGGCCCAAGGGCAAUACUACAACGCCUAAAAGCCACGGAGAAAAGGAAACACCGCACAUCAGCCCAGACUAGCGUCCAAAAGUGGUAAUUGAGUUUCGGUGAGCCCACAUACGUUCUGGUCUGGGUUGACACUACUGCAAUUAGCGGUUUAAGGUCCUGGGUUCGAUUCCUGGGGAGACCCCCGAAUUAGUCGGGAGCGCGAGAUUAUGGCUAGCUGCUGAGAUGUGGAGUUGAGGUCACAGUUGAUGGACCAGAUUCGCACGCUAGAUUGGUGGCGAUUGCCGAACCCUCCGUCUCUUCGGGUGUUCGGGUGAAUGGAUGAGGAGGGGUCCCUGAAGGCUGGAUCCGCCGCCUUGGACUAACAGUUCGUAUGGCGAAGUACAGUGUGGUAGUGGUGGAUGGUGCUAUAAGGUGAUAAAUGAUCUAGAACUGACAAUGUGAUAAAGCGGCCCAGAAGCCUCCCACUCUGUAACAUUACAUUACAUUACAUACGUUCCAACAUCCUCGCAAGACGUGCGGGUUCCCAUUUCAUGGCCUCCAACAAGCUCUGUUGAUGAUCGAAUCCUACUUCAGCACGAAUAUCAUUAUAGGCUGGGCAUUCCAAUAACACGUGUUUUUCAUCCUCGAUUCGGCUAUUAGUACCACAACAGCGGCAAAACCGCUGCCCCCUGGGGACAUGGUACUUGCCCCUUCGUGCUCUGUUUGCCUCCAAAGCCCAGCAACAUAAACGAAACUGCAUUAGCUUACGAUGUGCUAAACGAGAAAUGAAAACCUUAGCAUGUGUUGGCCACAUGACGGCUGCGGCUCCCGAAAAGGGCAGCCCCAUCCAGUGCUUAUACUUCGCCAUUUGCACUCCCGGUUGCUUCCCAUCUGAUGGGUACUCCUCUGGCAAGACAGUCAGACGCGUAUGGUCCCAGCCGCUCAUCAAACGCUCUCUUAGUGCCGUUAUUAUCGCUCCUUCUGGUAGAGGUCUACUCAACAACCAGUCAACACGCUCCUUUACCCCCACGACUUCUUGCGGUAUUCCGCUCCAAAUAUUACACUUUCCAAGAAGGAAAACAGUCGUAACAUUGAGAUUCCCCAACCCUCCCAUUCCAGGUUGGUCAGGACAUCGGUUAUCUCCUGCCGUAAAACUGCAUGAGCAAUGGACCCCACUUGUUUUUGAAGGCGGUUCCCGAAACGGAGGAUCUGUUUCACCAUGUAAUACUGUAAGGGGAGUUCAGCCAGCUCCGCAUACAACAGUCUGUGGGAUGGCGGUGCCGCCCCCGCUACCUGCCUCAUGAAUAAAAUCUGCAGCUGGACUGCACUACCCUUCAACAGGCUUCGAACAUGCCCUCCGCAAGGUUGGCUUUAUCCCGCCGCCUUCCCGCCCUGUCCACGACCUCUGCCAGCGGAUGUAACACACACAAUAAAGUAACCAUGAACAUGCCUCGGAGGGUUAAUUUGCCCCUGCCCAUGCACCCGAAUUUCCAUACCACGUGCCUCCGCCUUUUGCUCUUGCAUCAUUUCGGAGACUGGGAGCCUGAGAACCUGUGUGCCUGGGAGACUUGGAUACUGGCAGCAUGGCAGUGGAGGCAUGGAAGCCUGGGAGCCUGGGAUUCCAAUAGCCUAUGUGCCUGGGAGCCUGGGAACCCAGUCUUUAACGCAACUUAUGGCUUGGUUGGCCUGUCCGCCAUUCGCUGUGUUGCACAGACAGGCUGGCAGGCGGAAUGCAGUACAAGGGCGUAACCUGGUGGGGUGUGUGGUGCCGUGUUGGGUCGAGGGGACGUGUGCAUGCUGUGAACCAACUAAAAGAACGUUGCAGACAUAAUGACACAGCGCAAACUAACGUAACGAUGUGGGGAUGAGAAUGUUGGUGGGAGGAGUCCGCGUGUGUUAAAGCACGUAUGCUUGUAAGGAGGGGGCGGAAAAUAGAAUACGAUGUACGGUGCUGCUGCUAUUUCCUUGCAAUGGUGACAAGUCUGCCACCUUCCCUAAUAGUACUAACUGGGCUGGGUAAUCGGCCUUUUCUUUACAUUUCGUAGUUAGCCAGAAAGUUCAAUGUGGGAUUGUUAUGUGGUGUGAAGUUUGGUCGGAUCUAUCGUUCAAUGGACCCACCAUCGGUUUCCUCUCCGCUAAUAGGUCAAGGGUCUCUGUCCCUUUUAGACAUGACCGUACUUGAACAGGAUCUGUUCUAUAGGUCAUACACCUGUCUGUGUUCUUUAACUCAGACAAGCUCCUCAACCCAGACGAAGAGACGGAGUCCCUGCACCUGAGCGCAACGUAAGGCCGCAGUGGCCGUGCCGCUGGCACGGACGCGCGGCUCUGGAUGAACGUCCCUCCGAG
rnacentral:lncRNA from 1 species